UACGUAGGGUGCGAGCGUUAAUCGGAAUUACUGGGCGUAAAGCGUGCGCAGGCGGUUUUGUAAGACAGAUGUGAAAUCCCCGGGCUCAACCUGGGAACUGCAUUUGUGACUGCAUCGCUGGAGUGCGGCAGAGGGGAUGGAAUUCCGGCGUGUAGCAGUGAAAUGCGUAGAUAUGCGGAGGAACACCGAUGGCGAAGGCAAUCCCCUGGGCCUGCACUGACGCUCAUGCACGAAAGCGUGGGAGCAAACAGG
rnacentral:rRNA from 1 species